GAUGAAAACGCAGCGAAAUGCGAUACUUGGUGUGAAUUGCAGAAUCCCGUGAACCAUCGAGUCUUUGAACGCAAGUUGCGCCCGAAGCCGUCAGGCCGAGGGCACGCCUGCCUGGGCGUCACACGCCGUUGCCCCCCCGCGCCCCGCACCCAACGCUUUGGGAGCGACCGCGGGGCGGGCUGAUGAUGGCCUCCCGUGCGCUCCGCCGCGCGGUUGGCCCAAAUACCGAGUCCCCGGCGACGUGCGCCACGACGAUCGGUGGUUGAGAGACCUCUGUCGCAAGUCGUGCGCGCCCGUCGCGUCACGCGGGCUCGCAUAGCGCCUCGCGCCGCACCCGGUGCGGAGCUUUCAACGCGACCCCAGGUCAGGCGGGGUUACCCGCUGAAUUUAAGCAUAUCAAUAAGCGGAGGA
rnacentral:misc_RNA from 1 species